AUACGGAGGGGACAAGCGUUAUUCGGAGUCACUGGGCGUAAAGGACGCGUAGGCGGGUUAUUAAGUCGGGUGUGAAAUCCAAUGGCUCAACCAUUGAACUGCAUUCGAAACUGAUAACCUAGAGUAUGGAAGGGGCAGGUGGAAUUAGUGGUGUAGGGGUAAAAUCCGUAGAUAUCACUAGGAAUACCGAAAGCGAAGGCGACCUGCUGGGACAUUACUGACGCUGAGGCGUGAAAGCGUGGGGAGCAAACAGGAUUAGAAACCCCAGUAGUCC
rnacentral:rRNA from 1 species